GCCUGAGUGGCUCAGUGGUUGAGCAUCUGCCUUUGCCUCAGGUCGUGAUCACAAGGUCGUGGGAUUGAGUCCUGCAUCAGGCC
rnacentral:tRNA from 1 species